CAACAAGGUAGCUGUACUGGAGGGUGUGGCUGGAUGACCUCCCU
rnacentral:rRNA from 1 species